rnacentral:tRNA from 1 species
AGAAACUUAGGAUCAAACCUACUAAACCAGGAGCCUUCAAAGCUCCAAAUAAGAGACAAAACCUCUUAGUUUCUG